GGAAUCUUCGGCAAUGGACGAAAGUCUGACCGAGCAACGCCGCGUGAGUGAAGAAGGUUUUCGGAUCGUAAAACUCUGUUGUUAGAGAAAAACAAGGGCGAGAGUAACUGUUCACCCCUUGACGGUAUCUAACCAGAAAGCCACGGCUAACUACGUGCCAGCAGCCGCGGUAAUACGUAGGUGGCAAGCGUUGUCCGGAUUUAUUGGGCGUAAAGCGAGCGCAGGCGGUUUCUUAAGUCUGAUGUGAAAGCCCCUGGCUCAACCGAAGAAGUGCAUCGGAAACUGGGAAACUUGAGUGCAGAAGAGGACAGUGGAACUCCAUGUGUAGCGGUGAAAUGCGUAGAUAUAUGGAAGAACACCAGGGGCGAAGGCGGCUCUCUGGUCUGUAACUGACGCUGAGGCUCGAAAGCGUGGGGAGCAAACA
rnacentral:rRNA from 1 species